GACAAACGCUGGCGGCGUGCCUAACACAUGCAAGUCGAGCGCGAAAGGGACCUUCGGGUCCCCUGAGAGCGGCGAACGGGUGAGUAACACGUGGGCACCCUGCCUCAAGGACUGGGAUAACGUCGGGAAACCGGCGCUAAUACCGGGCGAUGUCGUCUCGUAUAAGCGAGCCGACCAAAUGGUAGCUUCGGCCUCUGAAAAUGCUGUCGCUAUGAGAAGGGUCUGCGUCUGAUUAGCUAGUUGGUGGGGUAAAGGCCUACAAAGGCAACGAUCAGUAGCCGGUCUGGGAGGAUGAACGGCCACACUGGGACUGAGACACGGCCCAGACUCCUACGGGAGGCAGCAGUGGGGAAUCUUCCGCAAUGGACGAAAGUCUGACGGAGCAACGCCGCGUGAGUGAAGAAGGCCUUCGGGUCGUAAAGCUCUGUUAUCCGGGAAGAAUAAGCUUAAGUUUAAGAGACAUAAGAAAUGACGGUACCGGAGGAGGAAGCCACGGCUAACUACGUGCCAGCCGCCGCAGUAAUAC
rnacentral:rRNA from 1 species